GCGGGAGUAUCCAAGUGGUCAAAGGAGUAGGGUUCAGGUCCCUAUGUGCGAAGGCCUUCCUGGGUUCAAAUCCCAGCUCCCGCACCA
rnacentral:tRNA from 1 species